CAAGAAAUAGUUUAAAUAAAAUUUUAACUUUGGGAGUUAAUGAUAAAGAGGUUUCUUUUUUCUUGA
rnacentral:tRNA from 1 species